ensembl:ncRNA F09F9.8 ncRNA
GAAUUCUUUUAAACAAGUUGAAAACAAGUGUUUUCUUUUGUAUAGAAUUCAAUAAUAAAAUGUUAAGAUGGAUGAAAGAUCCGGAUUAAAUGCUUUUUGCUUCAAUCAUAUUAUAUAUGUAAAAAUAUAAUCUGAGUUAGAAUCA